GAGACUGGGAUAACACCUGGAAACAGAUGCUAAUACCGGAUAACAACACUAGACGCAUGUCUAGAGUUUAAAAGAUGGUUCUGCUAUCACUCUUGGAUGGACCUGCGGUGCAUUAGCUAGUUGGUAAGGUAACGGCUUACCAAGGCAAUGAUGCAUAGCCGAGUUGAGAGACUGAUCGGCCACAUUGGGACUGAGACACGGCCCAAACUCCUACGGGAGGCAGCAGUAGGGAAUCUUCCACAAUGGACGCAAGUCUGAUGGAGCAACGCCGCGUGAGUGAAGAAGGGUUUCGGCUCGUAAAGCUCUGUUGGUAGUGAAGAAAGAUAGAGGUAGUAACUGGCCUUUAUUUGACGGUAAUUACCUAGAAAGUCACGGCUAACUACGUGCCAGCAGCCGCGGUAAUACGUAGGUGGCAAGCGUUGUCCGGAUUUAUUGGGCGUAAAGCGAGUGCAGGCGGUUCAAUAAGUCUGAUGUGAAAGCCUUCGGCUCAACCGGAGAAUUGCAUCAGAAACUGUUGAACUUGAGUGCAGAAGAGGAGAGUGGAACUCCAUGUGUAGCGGUGGAAUGCGUAGAUAUAUGGAAGAACACCAGUGGCGAAGGCGGCUCUCUGGUCUGCAACUGACGCUGAGGCUCGAAAGCAUGGGUAGCGAACAGGAUUAGAUACCCUGGUAGUCCAUGCCGUAAACGAUGAGUGCUAAGCGUUGGGAGGUUUCCGCCUCUCAGUGCUGCAG
rnacentral:rRNA from 1 species